AGUAUUAAUUCAACUGUAUGCAGAGUUUAUUUAACUGUAUGUAGUGUUCCAUUAACUGUGCACGAUGUUAAUUUAACUAUAUGUAGGAUUAAUUUAAACAUGUACUAUAUUUAGUUAAUUACAUACCAUAUUAAAUUAAUUAUACUAUAUUAAUUUAACUGUAUAUAGUAUUAAUUUAACUGUGUAUGGAGUUCAUUUAACUGUGUAUAGUAUUAAAUUAAUUGUGUAUGAUGUUAAUUUAACUGUUUACCAUAUUUAGUUAACUACGUUCUAUAUUAAAUUAACUAUAUACUAUAUUGUUGCUCAGCUAUGCAACCCAAGAGGGGAGGGG
rnacentral:lncRNA from 1 species